rnacentral:rRNA from 1 species
UACGGAGGUGGCGAGCGUUGUCCGAAGUUACUGGGCGUAAAGCGCGCGUAGGCGGGCUCUUAAGUGAGGAGUGAAAGGCUGGGGCUCAACUCCAUGCAGUGCUUCUCAUACUGGGGGUCUUGAGGGCGGUAGAGAGAAGUGGAAUGGCUGGUGUAGCGGUGAAAUGCGUAGAUAUCGGGAGGAACACCAGUGGCGAAGGCGAUCACCUGGGGUUGUUCUGACGCUGAGGAGCGAAAGCUAGGGGAGCAAACGGG